rnacentral:lncRNA from 1 species
UCCAGACCUUCACCCAAACACAUGACCAAUGAUAUACAAACACAUGACCAAGGGUUGCAUGAUAACAAGAUCUUCUAGAGCUUCUACUUUGUCUAAUGAUAAGGUGUUGUAUAUAUAACAUAUCAACAUCCUCAAACUCAUCAAAAUCCUCCUACAGAUGAAAUGGUUUGUGGUGGUUUUACUGUUAGAUGCUUUGUGAAAAGUGAAAACCACAAGAUUCUUUUAUCCUGAAUUUGACAAGGUGGUAUAAUGGAGAGAACCUCAAAGAAACUAUUGAGAANGAAUACACACUUUGAGACAUGCACCAUUCAGACCACCAUCCAGACCUUCACCCAAACACAUCACCAAUGAUAUACAAAGACAUGACCAAGGGUUGCAUGAUAACCAGAUCUUCUUGAGCUUCUACUUUGUCUAAUGAUAAGGUGUUGUAUAUAUAUAACAUAUCAACAUCCUCAAACUCAUCAAAAUCCUCCUACAGAUGAAAUGGUUUGUGGUGGUUUUACUGUUAGAUGCUUUGUGAAAAGUGAAAACCACAAGAUUCUUUUAUCCUGAAUUUGACAAGGUGGUAUAAUGGAGAGAACCUCAAAGAAACUAUUGAGAAAAUGUGAAAAGGAAAAAAGUAUAUGAUGACCUGAUUUCGUUCCACAUAGUCACCAAUGAAGUCCUUAACAUCAUUGACUUGUUCAGGGCUCAAUUCAUCAUU